CAAUAGAAUAAAUAGAAUAAGAGGCUUGACCUAGAGCUCUUCACGAACAAUGAGACUUCUGUCUCGCUUACCUGCCCGACGGGUAGACCCAAUAGAAUAAAUAGAAUAAGAGGCUUGACCUAGAGCCCUUCUCUUCCCCCUGAAAAAAAUCGGAUAUUUGGCAUGAGUAGCCUACGAGCCCUUACUUGAUGUCUGCGCUAACUGCCCUAUAGCUGGUGAAUCCUUUGAAUCAUAGGAAUGGCAAAAUCAGUAGAUA
rnacentral:lncRNA from 1 species